rnacentral:rRNA from 1 species
UGAGGAAUAUUGGUCAAUGGGCGAGAGCCUGAACCAGCCAAGUAGCGUGCAGGAUGACGGCCCUAUGGGUUGUAAACUGCUUUUAUGUGGGGAUAAAGUGCGUGACGUGUCAUGCAUUCAGGUACCACAUGAAUAAGGACCGGCUAAUUCCUUGCCAGCAGCCGCGGUAAUACGGAAGGUCCGGGCGUUAUCCGGAUUUAUUGGGUUUAAAGGGAGCGUAGGCUGUCUAUUAAGCGUGUUGUGAAAUAUACCGGCUCAACCGGUGGCUUGCAGCGCGAACUGGUCGACUUGAGUAUGCAGGAAGUACGCGGAAUUCAUGGUGUAGCGGUGAAAUGCUUAGAUAUCAUGAAGAACUCCGAUUGCGAAGGCAGCUUACGGGAGUGUUACUGACGCUUAAGCUCGAAGGUGCGGGUAUCGAACAGG